CCUACGGGAGGCAGCAGUAGGGAAUAUUGCUCAAUGGGGGAAACCCUGAAGCAGCAACGCCGCGUGGAGGAAGAAGGUUUUCGGAUUGUAAACUUCUUUCGUUAGAGAAGAAUGUGACUAUAUGUAACGAAUAAGCACCGGCUAAAUCCGUGCCAGAAGCCGCGGUAAUACGGAGGGUGCAAGCCUUAGUCGGAAUUACUGGGGGUAAAGUGUGCGGAGGCGGGGAAAAAAGACAGGAGUGAAAGCCCGUAGCUUAACUACAGGAAUGCAUUUGAAACUGUUCAGCUGGAGUGCAGGAGAGGUAGGUGGAAUUCCUGGUGUAGCGGUAAAAUGCGUAGAGAUGAGGAGGAAUACUAGUGGCGAAGGCGGCCAACUGGAACGUUACGGACGCUGAUGCACGAAAGCGUGGGGAGCAAACAGGAUUAGAUACCCGAGUAGUC
rnacentral:rRNA from 1 species